AGCAGCAUGGCGCAGUGGUAGCGCGCGGGGCCCAUAUUGUAGUACCCCGAGGUCACUUGAUCGAAACAAGUUGCUGCUA